AACAAAACAGCCCAAUUGAACGACAUAAGAAAACUAUUUUGUGGUCCUAACAUUGAUAGCACUUUCAAUCAGAUCGAGCGUUGUAGUGACAUUAUGAAUAUUGCCGGGAUGAUCUGCAUGCGGAAGUCCUUGAACAACGUUCAUGAUGCGUAACAUUUUAUCUUUAACAUUUUUUUGCUCCUUAUAGUUCAACGAGUUCACAUUGUUUAUAUAGUUUCUUGACUUGUAAAAAGCCAAUGGUUAAACUUCGAAUAACUUGAAAAAAAAAUUUA